UAGAUGUUCGUUUCGUUCAAGGCGUGUAUAUUGUGCGCGGGUGAUUUUCAGCAGCAGCAUUAUUGUGCUUGCCAUCAUCUUCAUUAUUAUUAUUGUUGUCAAUGAAAUGUAGAGCAUAUAUUUUCGUUUACAUUGUGCUGCAAUAAAGUUAAUUCAAUUGUCAAGAAACAAAGAAAGAACAACGAAAAAAGUUUCUUUAAAAGCAUAACAAAACACUUGCACACACCCACAUUGUCAUAACCGUAAUAAAAAUUUACAAUCCGAUGUUGGACAAUAUCUCUGGGGUGAAGAGCUUUGUAGUGAUGACAAUGAUGAUGAUGCUGAUGCUCCACCAUUGCUAGUGCUAAACGCCAAACGAAAGUUGACAAAAUUGGAUUUUGUAAUCGCCUUCUCCUCCUCUUUCUGUUUGUUCAUGUAACGCUGCUUAUGCUUGUAGUGGUGAGGAUGAUAGUUGGGUCGGCCAUCUGCGGUACGGCUGUGAGGCAAAGCGAGAUUUAGAUUUGAUUGGAUUUAAUUGAAUUGAAUUGUGAGUCUUGUUAAGUGGUGGUGAUUUUUUCUUAACUUCAAACGCCGGCGGUGAUUUGAUCAGAGAAAAAAAGAAAUCAAAAAGGCGAUGUUAAAAAUAGUUUCAACUUGAUAGAAAGGCGGAAGUAGAUAGAAAUACCUAUUUGUUGAAAGAAAAUCUUAAGAAAAUUUUGUAUUAAACCAAGUCUGCUUAAAGUAAUUGAAAAAGUUUUGUGUAAAAAUAAAACAACCAUCGCGUGUAUUCCUGCCGUACGGUGCACUCGUUCAAUACUCUCGUUUAAGCUAAAGAGGAAAUUUCUAAUAUAGUAAUUUCAAUAAAUUGAUUAUUAAAGUGCAUGUUUUGCUGCUGUUGUUAUGAAAGUGUAAAACGUAAUACAAAGAAAACUACAGUGAUUAUCUAAGCUCAAAACAUAUCUUCAUCCAUGAAAUGCAAAUAGAUAGAAAAAAAAAAAAAAAUAAUACACAUAAUUAAAAAAUAUUUAAAGUGCAUACCAAAGUGCUUUUGGCAGUUUUUCUUCCCUUCCCUUUCGCACUAUCAUUCAACACUCAUAAUCUGCGGAUUGAAUUGAGAAAUUUGGAGUAUAACGAUAUGAAUGUAACCAGUGAUUAAUCCAGGUACUACAAGCCCAAUAUCAAAUUUUGUUGUUUGCAUUUCUGUCAAC
rnacentral:sRNA from 1 species